rnacentral:rRNA from 1 species
UAGGGAAUCUUCGGCAAUGGACGGAAGUCUGACCGAGCAACGCCGCGUGAGUGAAGAAGGUUUUCGGAUCGUAAAGCUCUGUUGUUAGAGAAGAACGUUGGUAGGAGUGGAAAAUCUACCAAGUGACGGUAACUAACCAGAAAGGGACGGCUAACUACGUGCCAGCAGCCGCGGUAAUACGUAGGUCCCGAGCGUUGUCCGGAUUUAUUGGGCGUAAAGCGAGCGUAGGCGGUUCUUUAAGUCUGAAGUUAAAGGCAGUGGCUUAACCAUUGUACGCAUUGGAAACUGGAGGACUUGAGUGCAGAAGGGGAGGGUGGAAUUCCAGGUGUAGCGGUGAAAUGCGUAGAUAUAUGGAGGAACACCGGUGGCGAAAGCGGCUCUCUGGUCUGUGACUGACGCUGAGGCUCGAAAGCGUGGGGAGCAAACAGG